UCUCUGUUAGUAUAUCGGUUAGUACACGCGCCUGUCAUGCAUAAGCAUUGGCCGCGCGAAAGCGGGGUUCGACUCCCCGACAGAGAG